GGCGUGUACUGCUCUGCUGGGCCUUACCUCUUGGUGAGCCGGCGUGGCCUUAACUGGUUGCGUCGGGGAACCAGGACUUUUACCUUGAGAAAAUUAGAGUGUUCAAAGCAGGCCUAUGCCUGAAUACAUUAGCAUGGAAUAAUAAAAUAGGACGUGCGGUUCUAUUUUGUUGGUUUCUAGAGUCGCCGUAAUGAUUAAUAGGGAUAGUUGGGGGCAUUGGUAUUGAGUCGCUAGAGGUGAAAUUCUUGGAUUGACUCAAGACCGACUACUGCGAAAGCAUUUGCCAAGGAUGUUUUCAUUAAUCAAGAACGAAGGUUAGGGGAUCGAAAACGAUCAGAUACCGUUGUAGUCUUAACAGUAAACUAUGCCGACUAGGGAUCGGGCGACCUCAAAUUUGAUGUGUCGCUCGGCACCUUACGAGAAAUCAAAGUUUUUGGGUUCUGGGGGGAGUAUGGUCGCAAGGCUGAAACUUAAAGGAAUUGACGGAAGGGCACCACCAGGUGUGGAGCCUGCGGCUUAAUUUGACUCAACACGGGGAAACUCACCAGGUCCAGACAUAACUAGGAUUGACAGAUUGAUAGCUCUUUCAUGAUUUUAUGGGUGGUGGUGCAUGGCCGUUCUUAGUUGGUGGAGUGAUUUGUCUGGUUAAUUCUGAUAACGAACGAGACCUUAACCUGCUAAAUAGCCAGGCCGGCUUCUGCUGGUCGCAGGCUUCUUAGAGGGACUGUCAG
rnacentral:rRNA from 1 species